UUCUUUAAAGGCGGUAGUUUCCAAUCUUCACACCAAUUUUCACUUGAGCCUCUAACCUUUUUUUUUUGCAAUUGAGUCCCUAAUCUCUUGAUUUUAUUACAAUUAGGUCCCAACCGUUAAAAAAACUGUUAAAAUUAACGGAAUCGGCUUGCCAACGUCUAUGUGGCAACCUUUUGCAUUUCAAUUUAGGUCCCUAAACUUUACACAUUUUUCAUUUUAGUCCCUAAAAAAAAUUCAAAAUUUUAAAUUUAAAUUCAAAAAUAAUAUUAAAAUUAAAAUUUUAAACUAACGAGAAAUUAGAAUUUUGAAUUUGAAUUUAAAGCUGAAUUAAAAUUUUGAAUUGAAAUUCAAAUUUUAAAUUUAAAUUUUUAAUUGAAUCUAAAUUUUGAAUUCAAAGUUAAAAUUUUGAUUUUGAUUUUGAUAUUUCAAUUUACAUUUAAAAUGAAAGUUUUGAAACCGAAAUUUAAAUUUAAAAUAUGAAUUUAAAUUUAAAAUCAUAUUCAAAAUAUUGAUUUUAAAUUUUAAAU
rnacentral:lncRNA from 1 species